rnacentral:tRNA from 1 species
AGUCUUAUAUUCAAUAAUGAUUUUAGAUUGCAAAUCUAAAGGUAAAGUUAAUCUUUUAAGGCUU